CCUACGGGAGGCAGCAGUGAGGAAUAUUGGUCAAUGGGCGCAAGCCUGAACCAGCCAAGUAGCGUGCAGGAUGACUGCCCUAUGGGUUGUAAACUGCUUUUAUGCGGGAAUAAAGUUCACUACGUGUAGUGUUUUGUAUGUACCGUAUGAAUAAGGACCGGCUAAUUCCGUGCCAGCAGCCGCGGUAAU
rnacentral:rRNA from 1 species